CCGCUCCGAGCCCGGGUGGUGGGACCGAUCCUGGAGCCCAGAUCAAGCCAAGUCCGGCCAAAGCUGUGUCGCAAAAAUCUCGAGCUAUUAGAAAGGCAGUUCUGGGAAAUGAUGCAAAUACACAGGGUGAUGUCCUUCUCCCCAUCAUCCCAGUGUGAAACUUGUGGUCUCUUAGGAAGAUUCCGGGGUAGGAAAACAACAGAAAGAAAAGUCGUUCUGAUUUCUAACCUCACAUUCAACAAUACUGGGUGUUGGAAUUAAGUUUCGCUGAUUUGCGCCAAGAGAGAUGUGUCACUGUCACCCAUAAGAAGAUAAAUACACCUAAGGAGUUAUUAUUUAUUGUCACAAAAGCAACUAAACAAGUUUCAUGUGAGAGCAUUAUUUGUCUUAAAAUAAGGUGCUAGGAAUCACUCCACUCUGAAGGAUUCCCUUGUCUUCAUGGCCCAGUUUCUCUGACACCGUGUUUAUUCUUAUGAUGACCAUGGUGACAUGAAAAUCCAUGGCUCAUAUCUCCUGCUCAGGGAACAUAAUCAACCAGGUGUCCCAGCUGCUGUUCUUCUGGGUCCGCCACUGUGUUCAUGUUAAGGCCACAUUUCCCACAGGCUACUCAAGCAGCAACUGAGCAUAACAGGACAACUAAUGCAGGUCCAUUUCUGGAACACAUGGAACUCCACAACCAGGGGUCAGACCUUCAUGACAGGCUGAAGAGUUCCUUCUCCUCUUCUCCCUUUUACUUUACAAACAUUUCUCCAAUAAAUUUCUUACACAUCUAA